rnacentral:rRNA from 1 species
AUACGGAGGGGGUUAGCGUUGUUCGGAAUUACUGGGCGUAAAGCGCACGUAGGCGGAUUAGUAAGUUAGUGGUGAAAUCCCAGGGCUUAACCCUGGAACUGCCUAUAAUACUGCUAGUCUUGAGUUCGAGAGAGGUAAGUGGAAUUCCUAGUGUAGAGGUGAAAUUCGUAGAUAUUAGGAGGAACACCAGUGGCGAAGGCGGCUUACUGGCUCGAUACUGACGCUGAGGUGCGAAAGCGUGGGGAGCAAACAGGAUUAGAAACCCCAGUAGUCC